AAUCUUCAAAAAAGAAUAGAUACGAUUCGAUUCGUAUGAUGAACAGAUGCGAUCAUACCAGCACUAAUGCGACGGAUCCCAUCAGAACUCCGCAGUUAAGGGUGCUUGUGAGAGAGUAGUACUAGGAUGGGUGACCUCAAGGAAUGUCCUCGUGAUGCAUCCCUC
rnacentral:rRNA from 1 species